CAGCCCGCACGACCCUUGCUCCCCGAUCCCAUCUCGACCUCCAUCCCGCCGCCACCUCCUGCCUCGCCCCGCCCCGCCCAGCCUCACUGCGCACCGCCCGCCGCCCGCCGCCGACGCGCCGCGCACCGCAGCCGCGCCCGCACCCAUUUCCCAUCGAUGCGCCAAACGGGGGCGAUGAUGGACGGCGCCGCCCAGCUCCUGUCCGACGGAGUCGCCGGGUUCCCGCUCUCGGGGCCAACCCCUCCCCUGUGUCGGCUCGCGCAUCGGCUUGGAGGCCCCUCGGGGCUGCCGCCGGUGCGGGAGUCCUGCGCAGCCGUGAGGGCUGGGGACCAAGCGGCGGGGCCCGUGGUGCGUUCGUGUUGAGGGCUUGCUGGGGUUGGCCGGGAUCUGAGCCGCCGUCGAUGGAUUUCUCGCAGGUUGGCUACAUGUUGCUUCGGAUUUGAUCGUUGUACCAUCGUCCCGGUCGCCGCCGCGUCAGUUCCACACCGCUACAGCACAGCCUACCACCGCCACUCCAUUGGCUUGGAUUUGCUUGCGGCAUGGGCUGGGAACUGUACGGUGUUGUCUGAUGCAUGUUCCGCACUGGGAGGUUUGGUCGGCUGACGCUAGGUAUGAGCAGCUCUUGAGCCUGAUUGCUGGAUGUGCGCACGCAUGCAUGUAUACUUCUCACUUGCACUGCUUAUACAACACAUUGCAUGUACACCAUGGCCGUGGACAGGCGAACGUGCUCCUACUCCUCACAAGGCACCCACAGUCUAUUAGCAAGCCAAUCCAAAACUUCACCAUGCAUUUUUUUGAAAGGACAACUAAGUAUCUUUGUUAGUAACAUCUUUGUCAGAAAUUAGAAAAAACGGCAGUGCAUUAGUUGAGCUAAUCACCUAGCUUCAUCUCUUGGAUUAUGCAUUGAUAGUAUGGCACAUGUUGUAUCGUUAUAAGCAAUUUUUGUUAGGAGGUAAGAUUUUAGUGUCGUCGUUCAGUUUUUGUUACAUACAAAAUGAAUAUGAUUAGUUAAUUCUGUUUUCUUUUAAGAGGUAUUUCUCUCACGAGCCUUUGUGUUAUCCAUGUGAAUUCCACUAGAUUUAUCGUCCAUGUACCUAAAUUGUGCAUAUUAUCAAAUUUCUGGAAAAAAAAAGUUGAGCGCUUAUUGUGGCCAUCAUCUGCAUAGCACCACACCUAGAGCUAAAAUCAAGUAACCUUCAUGGAUUUUGUUGACAAGAAAGACAACGAACUUAAUUUAACGGCUUGAAGUCAAUUGCACAUGUCUCAUACUGCAUUGAACCUUGGCCGAAGCACUCGACCACGACAAGCAGCAGCUCGGGAAGCCUUUGCAAUUCAUGUAUUUACAACAUCUACAGUUCAUGUAUUUACUGUCAUGCAUUGCACCUUCAUGGUUUUUGUUGUACUUCUGCAUUUGCAGCAUUUACAGCUUAAUGCAAUCAGGAAUUGGUUAUAGAUUUCAUGUGAUUUAAUUUCUAAAUGUUAACUACAGUGACAACUUAUGACUUUCAUAGGUUUUAUUUCCAUUGAGAGAGAGCGGGCAAUGGAUCGUGAGGUGGAAUGAAAUUAUAAGCAAAUUGAUCUGACCAUCUCUUGUUGUCAGGGAAUCUGUGUGAUCUGUUCUACUUUGACUUGGAGUGUACAACUAUGAUAUUGUACGUGAUGAUUUUUUUUUGAUUCUGCUACUAGAGGUCAGUCAGAGGUGGUAAUUAUUAGUGGCAAAAAAGAGGCGGAAGGCUAUGAAAGAAGUGUUCUUCCCUUAUUUUUAUGAAGGUAAGGUCUUGUUCUUGGAUUCCUGCUGCUCUAGAUUGCUUGGCAGCUCUAAUUUAUCACUUCAUGACCUUAUGCUCCACCAUUAUCUUUGAACACUUGAUACUUAUUUACUUUUAUUUGUUGGCUUGUUUUUUAUAGUCAUCUGAUUUAAAAAUGCUAGCAUGUGCCACUUUAGUAUCUUUCAGUUUCAGCAAACAUAUUGGAUUAUCUUGACAUAUGUUGGCAUUGACAAGAUAAUAUAGAUUGUCACUAUUAAUUUCAAUGUUCACGCUCCAUCCUAUUUAAAUUCGUAUUUGGAUGGAAGUCAACACACUAAGAACUGUAUGCUUAAUGAAUGAUGUUCACAGCAAUUACUCGAAUUUCUUGCAUUCACAAAGCACAAUCGUAUUUUCUCGAACUAUACACAUGCUAUGACUUUCAUGCUCUCUGUAGUAAUUAUGUUGAAUUCUCAUAAUUCCUUUUUCAUUAUUAUGCCAAACAAUUUGUAUGCUAAAAACAUACUUCAUAAUCCCAUCUCCCCGCGUCGUCCCGAUUUGUUCCAGCUGGGCACUGCCUCGGCUGCAAAGCGUGUGUUAUCCCAUGAAGCAGGCCCUCCUUUGCAAGGCUGACGACGAUAGCUUCAACUUCGCCGCCUAUUCUGGUCGAUGAUGUCAUUGAUAAUAACCAGGAAGUUUUCACUGCUCAGUUCAUCCAGUUGAAUCCUUCUAUUGUAAUUCUAUUCCCUACCUUUUCUUACUCGUAGGAAAUUCAAGUGUGGUACACAUGUGAGUAUCUUCUCCUUCCCUCUGUUGUAUGCAUGUGGUCAUUUGUUAUCCCGAUUAAGAAUCAAGAUCCACUACAUUCUUGAAUAUUGAAGACUGUUUUAGUUGGUCCAGAUUAAACUUGAUAAAUACAAUUUCCUUGUUGGUUCCAUCUGAGUUGUAUAAUUGAUUUGGGCAGUUUUCAGUAAUCUUAAGCUGUCUUCAGAUUUUAGCUUCCUCAAUCAUUCUGAAUUAUUUAACCUCAGUAUGAGGUACAUGUGUUCCAAAAAUUAAUCCUGAGAAAUUUGUAGUUGACCAGUUGGGUCUGUUUGAUUUGUUUAGUAGACUGCAACGGCAGUCACAAUUGUUCAGAUCUAUUCUAAAGCUGCAUUAUUAGCACUGCAAUAUCUUUGUUACUUCAACCAAAUAGUCUAGUCGUGUCUUAUUGAUUUGGACGGGUUCUUACUAAUCUUUAAGGCAACUUCAAAUUUUAGCCUGCUCGAUCAAUCUGGAUUAUUUAGUGUCAAUUUUGAUGCAUGUCUUUAAUAAAAUAAGAAACUGAUUUUGGGUGCUAAAAUAAACACUAAACACUACUUGUUCAUGGCGACUAUGUGUAGAAAGACGAUCAUGGUGGAGAUCCCGACGGUCGACGUGAAGCCGGGAUGGAAUAAGGGCACGAAGAUCACCUUCCUAGAAGGAACAAUCUGAUUUUUUCGGUACAGUUAUGUGUUCCAAAAAGUUAUUGUGAUGUAAUUUUUAUAUUAACACUAAUCUAUGAAGUUAUGUUUCCAGACAUUUCACUUUUUGCAUCAGCUGAGGCACAUUUUAUUUUCAAAUAAUUUCUGAAGUAAAAGUUGUGAAUGAACUGCAUGAUCUUUCAUGUGUCUGAAUUACACUUGAAAUAAAAAAUUAGAUAGCAAGGUGCGAGGAAAUGUGACAAAAGUUGUCCAAAACCGAAGAACCUUUUUUACUUUUCUUCCCAUUACAUGUUUGCUAUUUACACUAUGCUUUAUUUUUACUAUAAUGUCAAAAUUAUCAUGUUUUAAGAUGAAUGGUAAAUCAAAUAAGGAAAAAACUAUGGUGGCCAGAUUUGGUAGCCCUUAGCCCUUAUCAUGUUUUUAUAUCCAAAAUACUGUUUGAUCCUUGUU